rnacentral:rRNA from 1 species
AUACGGAGGAUCCGAGCGUUAUCCGGAUUUACUGGGUUUAAAGGGUGCGUAGGCGGGCGCUUAAGUCAGCGGUGAAAUGCGGGGGCUCAACCUUCGAACGGCCGUUGAUACUGGGCGCCUUGGAUUCGGUCGAGGCGGGCGGAAUGCGACAUGUAGCGGUGAAAUGCUUAGAUAUGUCGCAGAACGCCGAUUGCGAAGGCAGCUUGCCGGGCCGAUAUUGACGCUGAGGCACGAAAGCGUGGGGAUC